CCUACGGGGAGCAGCAGUGGGGGAUAUUGCACAAUGGGGGAAACCCUGAUGCAGCGACGCCGCGUGGGCGAAGAAGUAUUUCGGUAUGUAAAGCCCUAUCAGCAGGGAAGAAGAAAUGACGGUACCUGAGUAAGAAGCACCGGCUAAAUACGUGCCAGCAGCCGCGGUAAUACGUAUGGUGCAAGCGUUAUCCGGAUUUACUGGGGGUAAAGGGAGCGCAGGCGGCACGGCAAGCCUGAUGUGAAAGCCCGCGGCCCAACCGCGGGACUGCAUUGGGAACUACCGGGCUGGAGUGCCGGAGAGGUAGGCGGAAUUCCUAGUGUAGCGGUGGAAUGCGUAGAUAUUAGGAGGAACACCAGUGGCGAAGGCGGCCUACUGGACGGUGACUGACGCUGAGGCUCGAAAGCGUGGGGAGCAAACAGGAUUAGAUACCCCUGUAGUC
rnacentral:rRNA from 1 species